rnacentral:rRNA from 1 species
UUUUAUGGAGAGUUUGAUCCUGGCUCAGGAUGAACGCUGGCGGCGUGCCUAAUACAUGCAAGUCGAGCGAACGGACGAGAAGCUUGCUUCUCUGAUGUUAGCGGCGGACGGGUGAGUAACACGUGGAUAACCUACCUAUAAGACUGGGAUAACUUCGGGAAACCGGAGCUAAUACCGGAUAAUAUUUUGAACCGCAUGGUUCAAAAGUGAAAGACGGUCUUGCUGUCACUUAUAGAUGGAUCCGCGCUGCAUUAGCUAGUUGGUAAGGUAACGGCUUACCAAGGCAACGAUGCAUAGCCGACCUGAGAGGGUGAUCGGCCACACUGGAACUGAGACACGGUCCAGACUCCUACGGGAGGCAGCAGUAGGGAAUCUUCCGCAAUGGGCGAAAGCCUGACGGAGCAACGCCGCGUGAGUGAUGAAGGUCUUCGGAUCGUAAAACUCUGUUAUUAGGGAAGAACAUAUGUGUAAGUAACUGUGCACAUCUUGACGGUACCUAAUCAGAAAGCCACGGCUAACUACGUGCCAGCAGCCGCGGUAAUACGUAGGUGGCAAGCGUUAUCCGGAAUUAUUGGGCGUAAAGCGCGCGUAGGCGGUUUUUUAAGUCUGAUGUGAAAGCCCACGGCUCAACCGUGGAGGGUCAUUGGAAACUGGAAAACUUGAGUGCAGAAGAGGAAAGUGGAAUUCCAUGUGUAGCGGUGAAAUGCGCAGAGAUAUGGAGGAACACCAGUGGCGAAGGCGACUUUCUGGUCUGUAACUGACGCUGAUGUGCGAAAGCGUGGGGAUCAAACAGGAUUAGAUACCCUGGUAGUCCACGCCGUAAACGAUGAGUGCUAAGUGUUAGGGGGUUUCCGCCCCUUAGUGCUGCAGCUAACGCAUUAAGCACUCCGCCUGGGGAGUACGACCGCAAGGUUGAAACUCAAAGGAAUUGACGGGGACCCGCACAAGCGGUGGAGCAUGUGGUUUAAUUCGAAGCAACGCGAAGAACCUUACCAAAUCUUGACAUCCUUUGACAACUCUAGAGAUAGAGCUUUCCCCUUCGGGGGGGACAAAGUGACAGGUGGUGCAUGGUUGUCGUCAGCUCGUGUCGUGAGAUGUUGGGUUAAGUCCCGCAACGAGCGCAACCCUUAAGCUUAGUUGCCAUCAUUAAGUUGGGCACUCUAAGUUGACUGCCGGUGACAAACCGGAGGAAGGUGGGGAUGACGUCAAAUCAUCAUGCCCCUUAUGAUUUGGGCUACACACGUGCUACAAUGGACAAUACAAAGGGCAGCGAAACCGCGAGGUCAAGCAAAUCCCAUAAAGUUGUUCUCAGUUCGGAUUGUAGUCUGCAACUCGACUACAUGAAGCUGGAAUCGCUAGUAAUCGUAGAUCAGCAUGCUACGGUGAAUACGUUCCCGGGUCUUGUACACACCGCCCGUCACACCACGAGAGUUUGUAACACCCGAAGCCGGUGGAGUAACCUUUUAGGAGCUAGCCGUCGAAGGUGGGACAAAUGAUUGGGGUGAAGUCGUAACAAGGUAGCCGUAUCGGAAGGUGCGGCUGGAUCACCUCCUUUCUAA